GGCUCAGGAUGAACGCUGGCGGCGUGCUUAACACAUGCAAGUCGAACGAAGCAUUUAAGACAGAUUACUUCGGUUUGAAGUCUUUUAUGACUGAGUGGCGGACGGGUGAGUAACGCGUGGGUAACCUGCCUCAUACAGGGGGAUAGCAGCUGGAAACGGCUGGUAAUACCGCAUAAGCGCACGGUAUCGCAUGAUACAGUGUGAAAAACUCCGGUGGUAUAAGAUGGACCCGCGUCUGAUUAGCUGGUUGGUGAGGUAACGGCCCACCAAGGCGACGAUCAGUAGCCGACCUGAGAGGGUGACCGGCCACAUUGGGACUGAGACACGGCCCAAACUCCUACGGGAGGCAGCAGUGGGGAAUAUUGCACAAUGGGGGAAACCCUGAUGCAGCGACGCCGCGUGAGCGAAGAAGUAUUUCGGUAUGUAAAGCUCUAUCAGCAGGGAAGAAAAAAAUGACGGUACCUGACUAAGAAGCCCCGGCUAACUACGUG
rnacentral:rRNA from 1 species